AUGGUACAAAAUUCAAAUAUAACUUAAUUAUACAACUGUCGUGUAAAAUACGACAAAACAUAUGUUAUGAGUUUUAAUACAAAUAUUGUCAUCUAGACAAUAUCCACACUCAAAUUCAAUCUUAUUAUAUUUACUAUCACACAAUUUCACAGAAUAGUGAGGACUACUAAUGCAACCAUCUGGACCGUCAAUUCAUUCCCCGACCAGUCCCAGCUAUAUUCUUAUUUCCUAAAGAGAAUAGUGAAAGAAAGAGUGAGCUCAACUAGCCAGUAAGAAAUAUUAUGACUAAGAUAAUGCAGAAUAAAUUAUCAUUUGCCUUCAACAGUAUAACAACUGAUAGAAUAUAAUAGACAACAAGGUUUAGAUCAACAACUGCAGCGGAAUAAGCAAUCCAUUAGAAGAGUCAAGUAGAGCAUAAAAUCUACUAUCUUCUAUGAUUUAAAAAGGUUUUCAUCAACUUUAUUGCUGAGACUCAGCUUAAUAAAUAAACUACAUCAUCGAAUCAUCCCUGCACCACGGCCAAGGAUAUUCAUGUAAUCAUCAAUGGUCAUGAUUAUACCGGAUAAUCCUUGGUCAUAAUCAUACCAACAACUGUCCAUCAAUGCACUACAGGCUAAUAAAGACUUUCACCAUAUCAUUCGUCACAUUACGGUCAUUAUUAUACUAAAAAAUCCCUGAUCAUAAUCAUACCAAGUCCAUCUAUGCACGUAAGCCAAAGAUGACUUUCAUCACAAUAUAAGCAUGGGGAUGAUAACAAUGACAUAAUAAUUCAAUAAAACAAGUUCAAGGAUAAAUUUUAAAGAUUUAUAAUUUAAUUUAUCCAGGAAUCAAUAACGUCCAAUUUGUCAACAUGAUACUGCUUUGUGGAGUAAAAUUCAAGAAUAAUAUUGUACCCAAAAAUGAUUUGGACCGAAAAGAAAUAUAUUUUUCGGGUGAAUAGUACCCCGUAAAUAGUACUUCGGGAAUAGUACCCCGUGAAUAGUAUCCCGACACGAAAAGUAUCCCAAAUACCCGAGUGAAUAAUAUUAGAGUGAAUAGUAAUCGGGUGAAUAGUAACCCAUGAAUAGUACUUCGGCACGAAAAGUACUCCGAAUACCCGAGUGAACAAUACUAGAGUGAAUAGUAAUCGGGUGAAUAGUAACCCAUGAAUUGUAACUCGUAAAAAAAAAACCAAAUAAAAUGAUAUUCCAUGACGAGUACAAAAGAAAUGAUGUCUCAUACGAGUAUAAUAGAAUAUACAAAACUGCAAAUGAAUUUUCACCCGCCAUGUGGUAAUCCACGCAGAUAGAUCAUUUCCACAAUUUAAUAAAGAAUGAAUACGAAGAGUCAUUCACCAUGCAUAUGGUAAUCCACAUAGACAGGUUAUUCCAACAGAAUAAUAAAGAAUGGAAUAACAGAAGAAUUCACCAUGCAUGCGAUAGACCGCACAGACAGGAUAUUCCAACAGAAUAAUAAAGAAUAGAACCAGGUCAUGCGUAAUCCGCACAGACAGGAUAUUCCAAUAGAAUAAUAAAGAAUGGAACUAGGUCAUGUGUAAUCCGCACAUUCAAGAUAUUCCAGCAGAAUAAUAAAGAAUGGAAUAACAACAGAAAUCACCAGGCAUGCGAUAGACCGUAUAGACAGAUUAUUCCAACAGAAUAAUAAAGAAUGGAACCAGGUCAUGCGUAAUCCGCACAAACAGGAUAUUCCAGCAAAAUAAUAAAGAAUGAAAUAACAACAGAAUUCACCAGGCAUGCGAUAGACCGCAUAGACAGGUUAUUCCAACAGAAUAAUAAAGAAUGGAAUAACAGAAGAAUUUCACCAUGUAUGCGGUACUUCGCAUAGACGGGUUAUUCCAACAUAAUAAAGAAUGGAAUAACAACCCUUACGAGUAUUGAAAGAAAAUAACUCUCUUUAUGAAUACGAAAGAAUAAUACCCCUUACCUUAGAAGAAACUGGAUACUGGAAUAGUGAGGUAGCAGACUUCUCUUCUUCUUUUUCUCUAUAAUAAUUGCUCUAUAGCUUUAGUGAAUUGGUGAAAAAUAAUAAAGGAAUGAGCUUCUAUUUAUAGGAAAAUAUAGUUUCAAUAAUUGCACGUUUUGGGGCUCGAAAUAUUUCAGUAUAAUACCUUCCUCUUUUUCUUCAUUUUUAAUUUAAUCCUGCAAGUAUUUUCAAACUUGCACCACCUCCCCUAAUAAUAUAUCAUAUUAUGCAGAUGCUAUGUGACAAUAAUUGAAUCAAUAAUAUGAGAGAUAUGAUGCAGCAAUUACUGUAGAAAUAAUUGAGUAUAACUGAGUGACUUCUUACGUAAGCAUCAAUAAUCAAUACCGUGUGUUACUAUGCAACCACGCGUAUUACUGUACUUUUAUUCGUCGUUUAUAAAAUGAUAAUUCUAUCAUUUCUUAACUACGACAAUACUUCCAUUGUGGGGUAUACCAAUGAUUGUGCCGUCGUACGGAUAUUCCCCGACAAAAAAAAUAUUCCCCGACCAAACAAAUAUUUUAUAACAACUUGCUUACUUUAUAAAAUUUAUAAAUAUUACCCACAACUAUAACAUUAUAUCAAAUCCACACCAUAAUAUUCAAAAAAAUAUUUCGAGAAAUUUAAAUCUUUAUUCAUAAAAUUUGGAGUCUCACAUCUCUCAUUCUCUCUCUUAUCUCUUCUCCAUUUUGCUUGUAAACUUGGUUAAAGUAGGUGGCCAAAUAGGAUUGUGACACCUAGUUUGUGUGUGGAAGUAACUUUGACAAAAUGAAUAAAUCACAUGGUCUUAUCUCCUUGUGUUGGCCAGAUUCUUCCCCCCNNNNNNNNNNNNNNNNNNNNNNNNNNNNNNNNNNNNNNNNNNNNNNNNNNNNNNNNNNNNNNNNNNNNNNNNNNNNNNNNNNNNNNNNNNNNNNNNNNNNUUGCUUAAUCAAAUGACUUAAAAGUCCCUCAUUAUAAAAUGGAAAAAAUGGUCAUUCCACCAUAUCUAGGAAAUUUCCUAGAAAUUUUCUUAUAGGACAUAUUCAUCAUUAAUAAUUUUUAUCAAGGGUAUAAUGAUUAUUUGGCCAUUUGCUAGGAAACUUCCUAGAAAUUUCCCUCUAGGAUACAAGGGUCAUUAGUGAGAUUCUUCAAAAGCAAUUUGGUCAUUUAAUCAUUCAAUAGGAAAUUUCCUAGAACACUAUAGUUAUUAAUAAUUCUCUUGGGGUAAAAUAGUCAUUUCCUCAUUACUAGGAAACUUCCUAGCAAUUUCCUCCUAGGACUCAUUGGUCAUUAGUAUCUUUCUCCAAGGGCAAAAGAGUCAACACACCAUUGCUAAGAAACUUCCUAGCAAUUUCGUCCUCGAAGGCAUGUUGGUCAUAAGUCAUUUUCAUUAAGGGUAACAUAGUCAUUUCCCACAAUUUCCUACAUUUAACUCAAGUAUGGUUAGUUCCUAACCAUAAUUAUUCUACUAACACAUGUCCCAUUAUUAGUUGGACCAACACUUGGGCUUCCACUUAGUUUUUUGGGCUCUCUAAUUAAAAUAAUUGGGCCAAGUGAAUUUUCAUGGUCCACUACCUUAAUUUUAUCUUACCCUAAUUAUUUAAUUAGGGUCUCCAUUUCACUCCUUUGAAAUUUAAAUAAUUACUCAUGUACAUAUAAUUUUAUAACCCAAUUAGACUUGCGUUUCUUUUUUUUUUCUCUUUAUAUAAUAAAUAAAUAUAUAUACAUAUUAUAUAUAUAUAUAUAUAUAUAUAUAUAUAUAUAUUUAAUCACAUACAUAGUCCACACAAGUCACAAAGUAUUUAAUGAAUGGAUAAAUAAUUAAUGUAACCUAAUAUUCUUGUAUGAUUAAUUUAAUUAAUCAUUUCUCUUGCUAAAAUAUAUAUAACAUAUCACUAAGUAUAUAUGUACCUAAACAUAUACACAUUCACUUAAUAAUUUUUCCUUAUACAUUAUUAUACAAUCUCUUUCACUAUUUAAUUCACAUAAAUUUUAAAGCUAUCAUAAUACCUUAUUCUUAAUAUACCUCCAAGUAUAAUUCUAUUCUAGGUUUUGAAUUUUUAUAACCCAUAUUUUCUCACUUUUACUCUUUAUCUUCUCAUUUCUUUCAUUCACAUUUAAUUUCUUUGCAUUGCUUAAAAAUUUCAAACCAUAUAGGUUUUUCUCAAAUUUUUUUAAUUAUUCCUCUAUUUCAAGUCUAGGUUUUAUUGUUUAACCUUUAAUUUAUAAGAUUAUUUAUUCGUUCAAGAUAUCUUAUAAAUUUUCCGGUUGUCACACUUAAGCAAGAUUUUUGAGCUUCUUGAAAUUGAUGCACAAAAUAGGUGGUUCAACACAGUUUCUAGUUUUAUUAACUUUGGUCAAUUCUUGCCAAUUUCAUUUCUGGUCUCUUGGGUUCAUUCCAACACUUGAAUUAUUACUAAUUAAGACUAUUUUAAGUAUUUCCUUGACUUUUUAAGCAUAAAUUUUGUUUUGACCAUUUAAACCCAACUUUUUCAAACUUUUACAUAUUAAUUUCUCAAAUUCUUGUAUACAUUAGCAUUCCAACACUUGGAAUAGCCUAGCAUAACUCUAAAUCACUUGUCUAAGGUGUCAAAACUGAGUUUUAAGCAAAAUGGCAAAAUCUAAUUUCACACUAAGAAAAAUAUCCAAAAAUUGUAGUUUGAGUGAUUUUAUAGGCUAGUUUGUUGAUUUGUUUGAAUUUUUGGGUUAAGGUCUUGGCUCAACCAUUUGGCCCUGCUUCUAGACCAUACAUCAAGGUAUUUUAAUCAAGGUUUAGGUUUCUUAUUCAUUUCAUUUAAGCUUCUCAAAACAGUGCCUCAAACUAGUCUGUUUUCUUAACUUUUUGCAAAAACUGCUUUUAACAGUACUUUAUCAUUUUUUUUCCAGUUUUGGUAACUUGGAUAGUCUAGGCAUGUGUAUUUUAGUUUCCUAAGGUUAUUUUUAUCAUUAUCUCACUUUGUUUAGUGUUUUAACCAAUUUUGACCUAUCAAAGCUCACUUUAGGCUUGAAAAAUAGAUCCUAACUUUGUUUUCUUACUAGCUUUGGUUAUGGCAAUGAGUAGUAAUCAUCACAAGCUUGAAUUAGGAACUUCAUAUGAGUUCGUUACAAUCUUAUAAGACCAGGUACUGAAAAUUUCCCAAAACAGUCCACUUUUGGGCUUAAAAUGUGUUUUUUCACAAGUCUAAUGCUCAAAACAGUUUAGGCUUAGUUUCUUUAGCUUGAGUAGUUUACUUAUGCCAUAUUAUAACUAUUAAAACAUGCAUACAUGGUCCAGGUAUUGUAAUUCUAUAGUUGAGUGUUAUUUGACACUUAAUUAAAGCUUAUUUUCAUAGCUUUUAAACUUAAUUUUUUAAUACUACUCAACCUAGAUCCUAACUAACUUAAAGAACAACUUUUAAAUACCUUUUAUGAAAAUAUUAUGGUCUCCUUACUGACUAACAAAUCCAGGUACUGGUUUUGGCUAUGACAGUUCUCUAAUCUAAAGUUUAAGCACAGAUUUGGCCAAUAACCAUAAACAGUCCCAAGCUUUAAUUCAAGGGACUUCUUAAGCAUUCAUAUAAACUUAAAACAUCAUUAUUACAUUCAUUACAUGCUUGUAAUAGUUAGUUGUCUUUCUACUAUCCAAAACAGUCCAUUUAAAGCAUUUUGAGCAUGGUUUAACACUAAAUUAUCUCAACAGUCCCCAAGCCUUCAAUUAUAAUUAUUAUCACCUCAUAUAAUUGCUAUAUACUUUGUAUUCAUGGUUUAAAACUCAAGGGUGCAAGGUUUUAAGUUCUUCGUUCAAAACAACCCUUAAUAGGCUUUAAAUUCUAUAAGAACAUGGUUUAGCAACAUGGUCAACAAUGUUAGCAUGAUUAUGCAACAUAUAUAAGCUUUGACAAAUCUUUUACAUAACCUUUAUCAUGCAUAGCUUUGAUCCUGGUGGCACCAAGCAGUUUACACCCUUCACAGACCUCAAAUAGACAUUCCAGCUAGCUUUCAUGCACACCAAAAUAGUGGCCUGGUUUGGCCUGAUUCAACAGGCCCAAACUGCCAUGUUUUGGCUCUUUUAUCACUUGACAAGGUUACAUAAUUACACUACCAUUAUCCUUCAAGGUUCAGUACAUUUAGACACCAUGUAUAGCAUGAACAUAUCCUUAGAAGUAGGGCAAAUCAAUCAUAUAUGAGCCCCUAAUUAACAGUCCAAAUCUACUUUGUUUUUUUCAUUAACAAAGCUAAAGGUAUACAAGGAACUUUAAAACAUGUUAUACUUAUGUAUAGAGCAUACUGGCUUUUAAAGCUUACUUUACAUAGCAUAUAUACACAUGAAGCUCAAUAAGUUUGCUAGUUGAUGACUUUUCUGCACUUUUGCUACCAUUUCUAGCAUAUUUUUAGGUCACAAUAUAAGCUUCUAACCAUCUAAUAUGGACAGGUUUAAUAGAUGGCUAUAGUAGUCCCAAACUUGGAUUUCUAAGCAUGGAUUCGGCAUACUAACUCAAAACAGCCUCAAGUUUAGUUAAGAUGAAUGUUGAAGCACCUUUGGAACAUGUAAUUGUUAAGAGAUAUGCAUAGCUGAAGUUUAAUCAAUUAUUAGCUAACACAAAACAACCCUCUUUUUACUUAAAUUUUAAGCAUGAAACCACUUAGCUAAUCAAGUUACUCAUAUUCAUUAUCAUAGCAUAUGAACAUGAUUUUGGAGUUGUUUGCAUAGCUAACAUGCCUUUAGCACAACACAGUCAAUACUUAGGCAUUUUAUCAAACAUAUAGGGUGCAGUCCAUAUAUAUAUACACGUAUAGUACGUAUAUUUCUAGUUCUUCAACCCCAGCCUCAUGGCUUUAAAACAAUAACCAAGACAACAAUCAUAAUACCAAUAACAACCAACACAGCUAUGCUAAUUAAAUAACAGUCUGCAUAUUAUUUAUUCAAUGCAAUAACCCAUAAUCAUUGUAACUGUCCAUAAUCAAGCUACCCGACCACUAACAAUUUAUUCUACCAUCAAAAUGAAUAGAAAAGGAAUGAAAAUGGCCUGAGUUGGAUUACCUUGCUGGGAUUCUAAAAAUUUAUGGUGCUGGGCUGCUCCAUUCUUCUUACUUCCCAGCCGGAGAUCUCCAUUUUUUUCUCUUAACUGCUAUUAUUUUUGGAACUCUGAUUAGUGAUGAAGUUAAUUGAUUUCAAGUAAUGUGCUUGGCCAUAUAUGAUUGAGCUUCUAUCAAUCAUCAUCACUCUCUUGUCUGCUAUCUCUUGGCCUCUACCCGGCCCUUACACUGUACCCUACUAUUCUCACCUGACAAGUAUAUUAGCUGCUGCAAUGGCCCCUAUCCAGCCACCUAUCUUGGCCUCUAUAAGGCUUAUAUAUGUGAUAUUUCCCUUUUGCAGACUACUUGCCCCCUAAACCUCUAGCCUUAUCCCAGACACUCUACACCUUAUCCUCAACCAUCCUACAAGUCCCUAGCCUCUAACUGGGUUGUUAACUAACUGUUUAG
rnacentral:lncRNA from 1 species